rnacentral:rRNA from 1 species
AGAGUUUGAUCAUGGCUCAGGACGAACGCUGGCGGCGUGCCUAACACAUGCAAGUCGAGCGGGGUAGCCGGAAGGUGUAGCGAUACAGCGGAGGGGUACCUAGCGGCGAACGGGUGAGUAACGCGUGGGCAAUCUGCCCCCGGGGGCGGGAUAACAGACCGAAAGGCCUGCUAAUACCGCAUGAAGCCGUCCUAUCGCAUGAUAAGACGGUAAAAGGGGAAACCCGCCUGGGGAGGAGCCCGCGUCCCAUUAGCUAGUUGGUGGUGUAAAGGACCACCAAGGCGAUGAUGGGUAGCCGGCCUGAGAGGGUGAACGGCCACAUUGGGACUGAGACACGGCCCAGACUCCUACGGGGGGCAGCAGUGAGGGAUUUUCGGCAAUGGGCGAAAGCCUGACCGAGCGACGCCGCGUGAGCGAAGAAGGCCUUCGGGUCGUAAAGCUCUGUCUAGGGGGAAGAGGAAGGACGGUACCUCUGGAGGAAGCCACGGCUAACUACGUGCCAGCAGCCGCGGUAAUACGUAGGUGGCGAGCGUUGUCCGGAAUUACUGGGCGUAAAGGGCGCGCAGGCGGCGCGUUAAGUCCGGGGUGAAAUCCAUCGGCUCAACCGGUGGGGGACCUUGGAUACUGGCGCACUGGAGUGCGGGAGAGGGAAGCGGAAUUCCACGUGUAACGGUGAAAUGUAUAGAUAUGUGGAGGAACACCGGUGGCGAAGGCGGCUUCCUGGACCGUAACUGACGCUGAGGCGCGAAAGCUGGGGGAGCGAACAGGAUUAGAUACCCUGGUAGUCCCAGCCGUAAACCAUGAACACUAGGUGUGGGGGGUAUCGACCCCUUCCGUGCCGCAGCCAACGCAAUAAGUGUUCCGCCUGGGGAGUACGGGCCGCAAGGUUGAAACUCAAAGGAAUUGACGG